AUUGAACGCUGGCGGCAUGCCUAACACAUGCAAGUCGAGCGAGCGGCGGACGGGUGAGUAAUGUAUGGGACCUGCCCGAUAGAGGGGGAUAACUACUGGAAACGGUGCCUAAUACCGCAUACUAUCGGAUAACCCAUAUGGGAUUAGCUAGUAGGUGGGGGAAAGGCUCACCUAGGCGACAAUCUCUAGCUGGUCUGAGAGGAUGAUCAGCCCCAAUGGGAACGGGACACCGCCCAGACUCCAAGGGAGGCAGCAGGGGGGAAUAUUUCACAAUGGGCGCAAGCCUGAUGCAGCCAUGCCGGGUGUAGUAAGAAGGCCUUAGGGUUGGAAAGUACUUUCAGCGAGGAGGCGUUACCCGCAGAAGAAGCACCGGCUAACUCCGUGCCAGCAGCCGCGGGAAUUC
rnacentral:rRNA from 1 species